AUCGCAAGGACAUGUGGAGCGCUUAGAAGUGAGAAUGCCGGUGUGAGUAGCGAAAGACGGGUGAGAAUCCCGUCCACCGAUUGACUAAGGUUUCCAGAGGAAGGCUCGUCCGCUCUGGGUUAGUCGGGUCCUAAGCUGAGGCCGACAGGCGUAGGCGAUGGAUAACAGGUUGAUAUUCCUGUACCACCUAGUAUCGUUUUAAUCGAUGGGGGGACGCAGUAGGAUAGGCGAAGCGUGCUGUUGGAGUGCACGUCCAAGCAGUAAGGCUGAGUGUUAGGCAAAUCCGGCACUCAUAAGGCUGAGCUGUGAUGGGGAGAGGAAAUUGUUUCCUCGAGUCGUUGAUUUCACACUGCCGAGAAAAGCCUCUAGAUAGAUAACAGGUGCCCGUACCGCAAACCGACACAGGUAGUCAAGAUGAGAAUUCUAAGGUGAGCGAGCGAACUCUCGUUAAGGAACUCGGCAAAAUGACCCCGUAACUUCGGGAGAAGGGGUGCUCUUUAGGGUUCACGCCCAGAAGAGCCGCAGUGAAUAGGCCCAAGCGACUGUUUAUCAAAAACACAGGUCUCUGCUAAACCGUAAGGUGAUGUAUAGGGGCUGACGCCUGCCCGGUGCUGGAAGGUUAAGAGGAGUGGUUAGCUUCUGCGAAGCUACGAAUCGAAGCCCCAGUAAACGGCGGCCGUAACUAUAACGGUCCUAAGGUAGCGAAAUUCCUUGUCGGGUAAGUUCCGACCCGCACGAAAGGCGUAACGAUUUGGGCACUGUCUCAACGAGAGACUCGGUGAAAUCAUAGUACCUGUGAAGAUGCAGGUUACCCGCGACAGGACGGAAAGACCCCGUGGAGCUUUACUGUAGCCUGAUAUUGAAAUUCGGCACAGCUUGUACAGGAUAGGUAGGAGCCUUUGAAACGUGAGCGCUAGCUUACGUGGAGGCGUUGGUGGGAUACUACCCUAGCUGUGUUGGCUUUCUAACCCGCACCACUUAUCGUGGUGGGAGACAGUGUCAGGCGGGCAGUUUGACUGGGGCGGUCGCCUCCUAAAAGGUAACGGAGGCGCUCAAAGGUUCCCUCAGAAUGGUUGGAAAUCAUUCAUAGAGUGUAAAGGCAUAAGGGAGCUUGACUGCGAGACCUACAAGUCGAGCAGGGUCGAAAGACGGACUUAGUGAUCCGGUGGUUCCGCAUGGAAGGGCCAUCGCUCAACGGAUAAAAGCUACCCCGGGGAUAACAGGCUUAUCUCCCCCAAGAGUUCACAUCGACGGGGAGGUUUGGCACCUCGAUGUCGGCUCAUCGCAUCCUGGGGCUGUAGUCGGUCCCAAGGGUUGGGCUGUUCGCCCAUUAAAGCGGUACGCGAGCUGGGUUCAGAACGUCGUGAGACAGUUCGGUCCCUAUCCGUCGUGGGCGUAGGAAAUUUGAGAGGAGCUGUCCUUAGUACGAGAGGACCGGGAUGGACAUACCUCUGGUGUACCAGUUGUCGUGCCAACGGCAUAGCUGGGUAGCUAUGUAUGGACGGGAUAAGUGCUGAAAGCAUCUAAGCAUGAAGCCCCCCUCAAGAUGAGAUUUCCCAACUUCGGUUAUAAGAUCCCUCGAAGAUGACGAGGUUAAUAGGUUCGAGGUGGAAGCGUGGUGACACGUGGAGCUGACGAAUACUAAUCGAUCGAAGACUUAAUCAAUUUUUUAAA
rnacentral:rRNA from 1 species